AGUUAAUGAGCUUGAAUAAGCAUAUGUUUUGAAAACAUAAGAUAGAAUAUUUAUCAUUCUAUUGACUU
rnacentral:tRNA from 1 species